AACGAACGCUGGCGGCAGGCCUAACACAUGCAAGUCGAACGAUCCUUCGGGAUAGUGGCAGACGGGUGAGUAACGCGUGGGAACCUUCCCUGUGGUACGGAAUAGCUCCGGGAAACUGGAAUUAAUACCGUAUACGCCCUUCGGGGGAAAGAUUUAUCGCCAUAGGAUGGGCCCGCGUCGGAUUAGCUUGUUGGUGAGGUAAUGGCUCACCAAGGCGACGAUCCGUAGCUGGUCUUAGAGGAUGAUCAGCCACACUGGGACUGAGACACGGCCCAGACUCCUACGGGAGGCAGCAGUGGGGAAUAUUGGACAAUGGGCGCAAGCCUGAUCCAGCCAUGCCGCGUGAGUGACGAAGGCCUUAGGGUUGUAAAGCUCUUUUGGCGGGGACGAUAAUGACGGUACCCGCAGAAUAAGCCCCGGCUAACUUCGCG
rnacentral:rRNA from 1 species